rnacentral:rRNA from 2 species
AAAUACUGCAGUCGACGAACUCUGGUAUUGAUUGGUGCUUGCAUCAUGAUUUACAUUUGAGUGAGGGGGGAACUGGUGAGUAACACGUGGGAAACCUGCCCAGAAGCGGGGGAUAACACCUGGAAACAGAUGCUAAUACCGCAUAACAACUUGGACCGCAUGGUCCGAGCUUGAAAGAUGGCUUCGGCUAUCACUUUUGGAUGGUCCCGCGGCGUAUUAGCUAGAUGGUGGGGUAACGGCUCACCAUGGCAAUGAUACGUAGCCGACCUGAGAGGGUAAUCGGCCACAUUGGGACUGAGACACGGCCCAAACUCCUACGGGAGGCAGCAGUAGGGAAUCUUCCACAAUGGACGAAAGUCUGAUGGAGCAACGCCGCGUGAGUGAAGAAGGGUUUCGGCUCGUAAAACUCUGUUGUUAAAGAAGAACAUAUCUGAGAGUAACUGUUCAGGUAUUGACGGUAUUUAACCAGAAAGCCACGGCUAACUACGUGCCAGCAGCCGCGGUAAUACGUAGGUGGCAAGCGUUGUCCGGAUUUAUUGGGCGUAAAGCGAGCGCAGGCGGUUUUUUAAGUCUGAUGUGAAAGCCUUCGGCUCAACCGAAGAAGUGCAUCGGAAACUGGGAAACUUGAGUGCAGAAGAGGACAGUGGAACUCCAUGUGUAGCGGUGAAAUGCGUAGAUAUAUGGAAGAACACCAGUGGCGAAGGCGGCUGUCUGGUCUGUAACUGACGCUGAGGCUCGAAAGUAUGGGUAGCAAACAGGAUUAGAUACCCUGGUAGUCCAUACCGUAAACGAUGAAUGCUAAGUGUGGGAGGGUUUCCGCCCUUUCAGUGCUGCAGCUAACGCAUUAAGCAUUCCGCCUGGGGAGUACGGCCGCAAGGCUGAAACUCAAAGGAAUUGACGGGGGCCCGCACAAGCGGUGGAGCAUGUGGUUUAAUUCGAAGCUACGCGAAGAACCUUACCAGGUCUUGACAUACUAUGCAAAUCUAAGAGAUUAGACGUUCCCUUCGGGGACAUGGAUACAGGUGGUGCAUGGUUGUCGUCAGCUCGUGUCGUGAGAUGUUGGGUUAAGUCCCGCAACGAGCGCAACCCUUAUUAUCAGUUGCCAGCAUUAAGUUGGGCACUCUGGUGAGACUGCCGGUGACAAACCGGAGGAAGGUGGGGAUGACGUCAAAUCAUCAUGCCCCUUAUGACCUGGGCUACACACGUGCUACAAUGGAUGGUACAACGAGUUGCGAACUCGCGAGAGUAAGCUAAUCUCUUAAAGCCAUUCUCAGUUCGGAUUGUAGGCUGCAACUCGCCUACAUGAAGUCGGAAUCGCUAGUAAUCGCGGAUCAGCAUGCCGCGGUGAAUACGUUCCCGGGCCUUGUACACACCGCCCGUCACACCAUGAGAGUUUGUAACACCCAAAGUCGGUGGGGUAACCUUUUAGGAACCAGCCGCU